UACGGCCAUAUCACGUUGAAACACUGGUUCUCGUACCAUCACAGAAGUUAACCAACGUCGAACUUGGUCAGAACCUAGAUGGGUGACCGCUCGUGAAUACUAGGUGCUGUAAG